GUUAUGAUCUCCUCCCAUUUGCAGCCUUCUUCCCUGGCCCCUCCUUUCCCAGAGACUCACCCCAUUCUCUCUCCAGUUUGGAGGGCAGGGUAUCUAGAGAGAGAGGAGAAAGAGGAGAUGUCAUGCUGUCACAUUAUGGUGUGAUUUCUGCCGUCCAUAGCCAGAGCUGGGAUGAAUUUGGGGACACGGUGAGAAGUGUUGAAAUAUUACCCAGAGGCAAAAGGAAAAGAAAAACGUAAAAGUGAAAAAACAAAACAAAAAUACCCCCCUUGUAUUCAGUGCCAAAAAAAAAAAAAAGGGUGGGGGGAACCUGGAAAAUCAAAAAUUAGAUAAUUCUUUUUUGGGGAAAAAACAAACAAAAUCAGGAGGGUUUGUUUGGUUGUUUCUGUUUGUUUUUUUUGUGGAUUUGGAAGGGUUUUUUUGAGCAGAGGGGAUUUUCCAUCAAACUUUUUUUGAAUGAAAUGUUUUGACCAGUUUUAAUACUGGUGUCACGGUUUAACAAAUAAUCAGGAUACAUGAGCUCGAGGACUGGGCCAAACGCAGAAGGAAAGGGACAGAGAUACCCUUACACAAAAGAGAAACAAAGG